rnacentral:pre_miRNA from 1 species
GGGGGGAGGCCGGAUCCUGGGCUGUGUCCGGUGCCCAGUGCUCCCGGUCUGCGCUGUUGGAUUAGCACUCCCGCCCCGCAGCCCCCU